rnacentral:rRNA from 1 species
AGAGUUUGAUCCUGGCUCAGAACGAACGCUGGCGGCAGGCCUAACACAUGCAAGUCGAGCGAGAAGCCACCUUCGGGUGGGGGACAGCGGCAGACGGGUGAGUAACGCGUGGGAACGUACCCUUUGGUUCGGGACAACUCCGGGAAACUGGAGCUAAUACCGGAUAAGCCCCUCGGGGGAAAGAUUUAUCGCCGAAGGAUCGGCCCGCGUCUGAUUAGCUUGUUGGUGAGGUAAAGGCUCACCAAGGCUACGAUCAGUAGCUGGUCUGAGAGGAUGAUCAGCCACACUGGGACUGAGACACGGCCCAGACUCCUACGGGAGGCAGCAGUGGGGAAUAUUGGACAAUGGGCGCAAGCCUGAUCCAGCCAUGCCGCGUGAGUGAUGAAGGCCCUAGGGUUGUAAAGCUCUUUCGGCGGGGACGAUAAUGACGGUACCCGCAGAAGAAGCCCCGGCUAACUUCGUGCCAGCAGCCGCGGUAAUACGAAGGGGGCUAGCGUUGUUCGGAAUUACUGGGCGUAAAGCGCACGUAGGCGGAUCGUUUAGUUGGGGGUGAGAUCCCGAGGCUUAACCUCGGAACUGCCUCCAAUACUGGCGAUCUUGAGUCCCAGAGAGGUGAGUGGAACUCCCAGUGUAGAGGUGAAAUUCCUAGAUAUUCCGAAGACCCCCGUGGCGAAGGCGGCUCACUGGCUCGGUACUGAC